UACAGAGGUCCCGAGCGUUGUUCGGAUUCACUGGGCGUAAAGGGUGCGUAGGUGGCUGGGAAAGUUUGAUGUGAAAGCUCAGGGCUUAACCCUGAAAUGGCAUUGAAUACUGCCUGGCUGGAGGUUUGGAGGGGGGACUGGAAUUCUUGGUGUAGCAGUGAAAUGCGUAGAGAUCCGGAGGAACACCAACGGCGUAGGCAGCGCCCUAGACGAGACCUGACGCUCAGGCACGAAAGCGCGGGGAGCGAACAGG
rnacentral:rRNA from 1 species